rnacentral:rRNA from 1 species
CGGCGAGUGAGCGGCAAAGCUCAAUUUGAAUCUAGCACCUUCGGUGUUCGAGUUGUAAUUUGAAGAUGGUAACCUUGGGUUUGGCUCUUGUCUAUGUUCCUUGGAACAGGACGUCAUAGAGGGUGAGAAUCCCGUCUGAUGAGAUGCCCAUUCCUAUGUAAGGUGCUAUCGAAGAGUCGAGUUGUUUGGGAAUGCAGCUCUAAGUGGGUGGUAAAUUCCAUCUAAAGCUAAAUAUUGGCGAGAGACCGAUAGCGAACAAGUACAGUGAUGGAAAGAUGAAAAGAACUUUGAAAAGAGAGUGAAAAAGUACGUGAAAUUGUUGAAAGGGAAGGGCAUUAGAUCAGACUUGGUGUUUUACGAUUAUCUUCUCUUCUUGAGUUGUGCACUCGUAUUUCACUGGGCCAGCAUCGAUUCGGAUGGCAAGAUAAUGGCAGUUGAAUGUGGCUUCACUUCGGUGGAGUGUUAUAGCUUCUGCUGAUAUUGCCUGUCUGGAUCGAGGGCUGCGUCUUUUGACUAGGAUGCUGGCGUAAUGAUCUAAUGCCGCCCGUCUUGAAACACGGAC